rnacentral:lncRNA from 1 species
CCUAUUGUGCUUGACCUUCUAUAACAUCUAUGAGCCCGACACUCUAGGUCCGACCAUAUGAACCUAGGGCUCUGAUACCACUCUGUAACGACCCAAAAAUCGGACCGCUACCGGCGCUAGGAUCCAGAUCGGCUUAAGGCCGCCGGAACCCGUAGCAAGCCUGACAUAUAACCUGUGAACCUGUCAAAUCCCAUACAUGAUCAUAC